AGAUUUUGAUAUGAUGAAGAUAUGAUUCUGGUUUUGAUUGAAUUGAGUAAAAAGAAUUUAUUUGGUGGAUAAUUGUCAAGGGAUAGAUCUACUUGAUUUUGUGGCCAGAGGUAAUUUGUUUAUAAUGAAUGGUCGUUUCCCUACAGGUUCAAGUUGUGAAUAUACAUAUAUUUCAAAGAAGGGUCAGUCAGUGAUUGAUUAUAUCAUUCUCUCUGAGCACUUGGUGGAUAAGAUUUGGAAUUUUAAGGUAGAAGAGGUUGACUUGGCUGAUCAUUUUCCACUGUGUUUAGAGUUGUGUAUGGAUAAAGAAUCAGAGAAGACUGAUUGUGAUAAUAAGUAUAAGGCCGGAUUAUAAUGUAAUUUAUACUGAUAAGAAUGCAUUUGGGAGUACUAUUUUUGAGAAGAUUGAUAAUAUUUAUGAAGAGAAUCAAAUUGUGAGGAAGGAAUUAUUAUGACCAUGUUAUAGGUAAAUUUAAGGAGUUUAUAGAGGGUAGAAAGAAGAUAUAGUAGGUUUAAAAAGGUAUGGUAUGAUAGAGACUGUUACAGAAUGAAACUUUUAAAACAAUUUACAGGAAUAUCCCGUUGAGUACAGAUUCGACUAGUGCGGUAUUCACAAUAGUACGGAUUACUAUUUGUUACCAUACCCCAUAUUAAUGUGGACAUGAUUCACAAUAGUAUGGUUUUCAAAUGACGGCACAUUACAAAAUUACAGUGCUGCCAUAUCAUCUCUG
rnacentral:lncRNA from 1 species